rnacentral:rRNA from 1 species
GGACUACUAGGGUUUCUAAUCCUGUUUGCUCCCCUUGCUCUCGCGCCUCAGCGUCAGGAAUAAGCUAGAAAACCGCUUUCGCCACCGGUGUUCCUCCACAUAUCCACGCAUUUCACCGCUACAUGUGGAAUUCCAUUUUCUCCGCCAAUCCUCUGAGAUCUGCAGUAUCAGAUGCAGCUCCAAAGGUGAGCUUUGGAAUUUCACAUCUGACUUAUAGAUCCGCCUACGCGCCCUUUACGCCCAAUAAUUCCGAUUAAUGCUUGCACCCUACGUAUUACCGCGGCUGCUGGCAC